rnacentral:misc_RNA from 1 species
GAUGAAGAAUGUAGCGAAAUGCGAUAAGUAAUGUGAAUUGCAGAAUUCAGUGAAUCAUCGAGUCUUUGAACGCACAUUGCGCCCCCUGGUAUUCCGGGGGGCAUGCCUGUCCGAGCGUCAUUGCCGCCCUCAAGCACGGCUUGUGUGUUGGGCCCCCGCCCCCCGGCUUCGGGGGGCGGGCCCGAAAGGCAGCGGCGGCACCGCGUCCGGUCCUCGAGCGUAUGGGGCUUCGUCACCCGCUCUGUAGGCCCGGCCGGCGCCCGCCGGCGACCCCAAUCAAUCUUUCCAGGUUGACCUCGGAUCAGGUAGGGAUACCCGCUGAACUUAAGCAUAUCAAUAAGCGGAGGA